UAGUUUAUGUCAUUUUACAAGAAUAUUAAUCUCUUCCUAGAGUACAUCAUAACCAGAUCAGCACUUCUAAGCUCCUCCUACCAGUGAUUGAUUCAUUGCGUGUUCACAUUACAGCCAGUAUUGAUACACUGAGAGAUGUGUAUGGUUACAAUCUGUACAGUAUGAGACAGCUUCAUAGAGAUAUUGCAGUGACCAGCAGUACUGGCAAUACAUUCACUGAUGUAUCCAUUGAUAGUAAGAAUAAGAG